CAGUAGCCACGGUAAUGCGUAGGUGGCAAGCGUUGUCCGGAAUUAUUGGGCGUAAAGGGCUCGCAGGCGGUUUCUUAAGUCUGAUGUGAAAGCCCCCGGCUCAACCGGGGAGGGUCAUUGGAAACCGGGAAACUUGAGUGCAGAAGAGGAGAGUGGAAUUCCACGUGUAGCGGUGAAAUGCGUAGAGAUUAGGAGGAACACCAGUGGCGAAGGCGGCUUUUUGGCCUGUAACUGACACUGAGGCGCGAAAGCGUGGGGAGCAAACAGGAUUAGAUACCCGCGUAGUCCCUGUCUCUUAUAC
rnacentral:rRNA from 1 species